rfam:Myotis lucifugus cont2.11078, whole genome shotgun sequence.
CAUGCACCAGUGGGGUCCCUCGGCCUGGCCUGUGCCCUCUCAUAAUCCAGAAUCCCUCAGGAGAUGUCAGAGAGCUAGUUUCAGCCUGAUCCCGCAGGCCAGGCUGAGGGACCCCACUGGUGCAUG